rnacentral:rRNA from 1 species
UAAUACAGAGGGUGCAAGCGUUGUUCGGAAUUAUUGGGCGUAAAGCGCGCGUAGGCGGUUACAUAUGUCUGACGUGAAAGCCCGGGGCUCAACCCCGGAAGUGCAUCGGAAACUGUGUAACUAGAGUCCCGGAGAGGAUGGUGGAAUUCCAGGUGUAGAGGUGAAAUUCGUAGAUAUCUGGAGGAACAUCAGUGGCGAAGGCGGCCAUCUGGACGGUGACUGACGCUGAGGUGCGAAGGCGUGGGUAGCGAACAGGAUUAGAUACCCUGGUAGUCCACGCCGUAAACGAUGGAUACUAGGAUCAGCGGGUAUUGACCCCUGCUGUUCCGUAGCUAACGCAUUAAGUAUCCCGCCUGGGAAGUACGGCCGCAAGGCUA